AGGCUUGAGAAUGUUGGAGACUCUCAUAGAAGAUAGGUCCUAAUGCUAGGCAUGACAACAGGACCCAUUGAUUUUACGUGACUAUCAUCAGAAAAAAAUGGACUAUUUCUACAAUCUUUGACCUGUCUCUUUAAGAUGUGCAACAAGGAUGAGGAGCAAGGAAUCUGCAAUAUUCUUUAUAAUUUCAUGGGGUCUUCUGAGGAAAUGUGCCAAUUUUAUGGGGACUCGUAGGGAAAAAUUUUGAUUUCAUGUGGAUUCGAGUGAAAAGGUCAUGGUCCUUUUGAUGACACACAGUACUUCAGCCAUAGCUACAAUUUGCUUUUUAAUUCCUAGAAAUUCUCCACCCCAAAAUAAUACAUGAGCCUCUACUCUAAGGCAUAUCCCGAAAGCUAUUUCCUGAUCGCACCACCUGUAUGACUCUUGCUCAUUCUAAAGAACUCAGCACGAUUUCAACGUCAUGAGAAUUUAUGAAGGAUCAAGUAUCAUGCUGUCUAGUGAGACUGGAGAAGUGAAGGACAUGUGGUCUUUGUCUAUAUGUUACUAGUGAUCUACUCAUAAACUUAACCUCCUGAUGCUCAAUUAAAAGUCCCUUUUGUCCAUUGAG